CUUCGCUUGCAGAAGCACGCCACAGUCACAUAAAGAUAUGUUUGUUGGAAGUCAGGCAGCUUCCCAUUAGAAGAGGUGAAUGGACACUGAUGUAUGAGACCUAUUGACUGCUUUUGUACAUGGAGAAAGAGUUGCGUGGUGCGAGACUUCAGGGAUCCUAAUAGUCUACACUUGAUAUUUGGAAGGCAAAGUGGAGCUCUGAUCAGUGGGAAAUGACAUCCAACAACAUCUCCUUCAUCUCCGAACAAUCAGUGCUACCUUUUCACUCUUAACACAGCUCUGAAGGACAAUACAUUAUUGUUGUUUUGAAUGAGGUGAGUGUGGCAACUCCUUUAGCCAGACCCAAGCAAAACUCUGAACUGUCUCUACUUGAUGAAAGAGCCCGUAGCAUUUAAA
ensembl:lncRNA